GCGGGGGUUGCCGAGAUUGGUCAAAGGCGCAGGGCUUAGGACCCUGUCUUGUAGAAGUUCGUGGGUUCAAAUCCCAUCCCCCGCA
rnacentral:tRNA from 2 species